UGGGGAAUAUUGGACAAUGGGCGAAAGCCUGAUCCAGCCAUGCCGCGUGUGUGAAGAAGGUCUUCGGAUUGUAAAGCACUUUAAGUUGGGAGGAAGGGCAGUAAGCGAAUACCUUGCUGUUUUGACGUUACCGACAGAAUAAGCACCGGCUAACUCUGUGCCAGCAGCCGCGGUAAUACAGAGGGUGCAAGCGUUAAUCGGAAUUACUGGGCGUAAAGCGCGCGUAGGUGGUUCGUUAAGUUGAAUGUGAAAGCCCCGGGCUCAACCUGGGAACUGCAUCCAAAACUGGCGAGCUAGAGUAGGGCAGAGGGUGGUGGAAUUUCCCGUGUAGCGGUGAAAUGCGUAGAUAUAGGAAGGAACACCAGUGGCGAAGGCGACCACCUGGGCUCAUACUGACACUGAGGUGCGAAAGCGUGGGGAGCAAACAGG
rnacentral:rRNA from 1 species